CUUGCUUUAGCAACACAUACUAAAAUUGGAAUGAUACAGAGAAGAUUAGCAUGACUCUUGUGCAAGGAUGACAUGCAAAUUCAAGAAUGUUCUAUAUUUUU
rnacentral:snRNA from 1 species